rnacentral:rRNA from 1 species
AGUGAACGCUGGCGGUAGGCCUAACACAUGCAAGUCGAACGGCAGCACAGUAAGAGCUUGCUCUUACGGGUGGCGAGUGGCGGACGGGUGAGGAAUACAUCGGAAUCUACUUUUUCGUGGGGGAUAACGUAGGGAAACUUACGCUAAUACCGCAUACGACCUACGGGUGAAAGCAGUGGAUCUUCGGACCUUGCGCGAUUGAAUGAGCCGAUGUCGGAUUAGCUAGUUGGCGGGGUAAAGGCCCACCAAGGCGACGAUCCGUAGCUGGUCUGAGAGGAUGAUCAGCCACACUGGAACUGAGACACGGUCAAGACUCCUACGGGAGGCAGCAGUGGGGAAUAUGGGACAAUGGGCGCAAGCCUGAUCCAGCCAUACCGCGUGGGUGAAGAAGGCCUUCGGGUUGUAAAGACCUUUUGUUGGGAAAGAAAAGCAGCAGGUUAAUACCCCGCUGUUCUGACGGUACCCAAAGAAUAAGCACCGGCUAACUUCGUG